CACGCCCUAAACGAUGCACACUAGUUGUUGUGAGGCUAGACCUUGCAGUAAUGCAGUUAACACAUUAAGUGUGCCGCCUGGGGAGUACGGUCGCAAGAUUAAAACUCAAAGGAAUAGACGGGGACCCGCACAAGCGGUGGAUGAUGUGGUUUAAUUCGAUGCAACGCGAAAAACCUUACCCACCUUUGACAUGUACGGAAUCCUUUAGAGAUAGAGGAGUGCUCGAAAGAGAGCCGUAACACAGGUGC
rnacentral:rRNA from 1 species